rfam:Ictidomys tridecemlineatus contig050833, whole genome shotgun sequence.
GGGGUUGUGGCUCAGCGGUAGAGCACUCGCCUAGCAUGUGCGAGGCCCUGGGUUUGAUCCUCAGCACCA